UACGAAGGGGCUAGCGUUGUUCGGAAUUACUGGGCGUAAAGGGCGCGUAGGCGGUGUGUCAAGUCAGGCGUGAAAGCCCCGGGCUCAACCUGGGAACAGCGCUUGAGACUGGCACGCUCGAGUUCGGGAGAGGAUGGUGGAAUUCCCAGUGUAGAGGUGAAAUUCGUAGAUAUUGGGAAGAACACCGAUGGCGAAGGCAGCCAUCUGGACCGACACUGACGCUGAGGCGCGAAAGCUAGGGGGAGCAAACGGG
rnacentral:rRNA from 1 species